GCCAUGCUCAGGGAAUCAUAUGGAACAGUGCCUGAGGGGGAGCAAAUGAGAGAUUGAGUUUCAGCCUGAUGAUGCCACUUAGCCAUUAACUAUCUCCAGCAAAACUCCACCAACCCCCCCUUUACCGCCCUCCCUGUAUCUACCAUUCAUAUCCGACAACCCCUCCCCGUUCCUCCCUCUGUUUUCCCACCCUCUAUCUCUCUCUCCCUCCACCUCCCUCUCUCUCCCUCUGCCUCUCUCCCUCUCUCUCUCUCUCUCUCUUUCACUGUCUGUGACAUCCUCGCUCGCUCACUCAUGCACAGACACAGCCCUCUGAGAGAGAAUGGAUGAGUGAGUGCAAGGGCAGGAAGCAAAGCACUGACCAGUGAGUGAGUGAGAGAGAGAGAGAGAGAGAGAGGGGGGGAGAGAAAGAGAGAGACGGGCGUGCAAGUGAGACUAUCCAGUGCUCACACUUCCAGCUCAUACUAAGACUAGACAAACCACAGAUCAGAUGCUCUCCAGCUCUCUAUGUGGAAGUGCUCCUGAGCCUUGCUCUACUUUCCACUCACUCUCUUCACUCUGGGACCUUUUCUUUUGCUUUGGGAUAUUUUGCAUGACACGCUGCCCUCUUCUCUGAGAGAAUCCUCACUGGAGUGCUUCUUGUGUCUCUUCUUCUCUGGCUCUCGCUCGCGCUCCUUGGGGAAUGAAUGAUUGAGCUCUGAGAAAGGAGGAUAGAGCCAGCACGCGUGGGACUCUGCGAAACAACAGAGAAACCAAGCGACUGAAGGGACAAAGCUGACCAAAGUGGCACAAGUGAGGCAAAAGACUUAAAACUUCAACAAACUACUUUUUCUAAGUGUCGCAAUGGAUCUCCCUCCAUUCCGAGGUUUAUCUGAUGUACCCUGAUAGGUGCGAGCCUUGUAUGCAAGUCUUUCCCUUGGUGGCCCGAGUGACGUUAUGGAUCUGACACCUCCUCCUCUCAGGAUGGACCGUGAUGGCUUGGACCUCCAGCAGGUCUCUGUGCUGUCCAUAGACCAGAUCCGCUCUAUACGGGCCAGCAAUGACUAUGUAGAUCGCCCGGUGGCACUAGAGCCUGCCACUCAGAGCCACAUCCACCAUGCAGCCCUCACUUCCUGAUGCUCCAGCCAUCCAGGAAAGCGGCGCCCGCUGCCAAGCAGGAAGAGCGUCAGUGGCCGAAAAAGCCACCGAGAGGAAGUUGGAAAGAACAUGUUUGAUGUCAGCGCCAGCGUAUUUUUGGGGCCGGCGAUGAACAAAAGGGCCGGUAUAUUUAGCGGCGGUCAGGAAGCAGGCCGAGAGCAGGGCUGGGGGGUUCAGCAGAGGCCUCGGCGACUUUCCCACACUCCCCG
rnacentral:lncRNA from 1 species